GCCUGGCUGACUCAGUCAGUAGAGCAUUUGACUCUUGAUCUCAAGGGUUGUGAGUUCAAGCCCCAUGUUGGGCA
rnacentral:tRNA from 1 species